rnacentral:tRNA from 1 species
GCGUGAUUAGCUCAGUUGGUAGAGCACCUGACUCUUAAUCAGGGUGUCCAGGGUUCGAAUCCCUGAUGACGC